rnacentral:piRNA from 1 species
UAAAUCGUAAAGGAAAAUGUU